rnacentral:lncRNA from 12 species
AGGGUUUUGACUUGUCUGCUGAAAUUAUAUUUUUAAAAUAUUUUUUACAUUCCCCAAAGGUUGUUUUGUAUUUAAUAUUGCAAUUGAUUUAGGUGUUGGUUUAAUUGCUUGUUUGAUUUUAGAUAAUCUACCUCCUCCAUCAUUUAUUUUUCACUUAGAGAUCUGCUUACUCUUCUUUUUGGUUGCAGGAUCCCAUAAGUGAACAAGAACUUGCUACCACUUCCUCAUGAGUUUAUCCCCCUUGUAACCGGAAGCUAAAGAGUCAAGAUGUCUCAAUGUAUGAAAAUUUUGCCCUCAGAAAUGGAGACCAAAAACUUAGAAUUAUUUCAGUGGAAAAAACAGAAGACCAAAAGGUGAAAUUUGCUUGGAGUGUCAUUUUGUCACCAGAUAUCCUGGAACCUGGAUUAAUUCACUCAGAAACAAGUACUGGCUAUUGAAGAUGCAUUUUUAAGCAAAUUCUCUUUAAUAAAUAGCUCUGAGGGAUCUUGUCUGAAUUCCCA